rnacentral:rRNA from 1 species
GCUAGUAAUCGCGGAUCNGAAUGCCGCGGUGAAUACGUUCCCGGGUCUUGUACACACCGCCCGUCACACCAUGGGAGUCGGAAAUGCCCGAAGUCUGUGACCCAACCUACGGGAGGGAGCAGCCGAAGGCAGGUCGGAUGACUGGGGUGAAGUCGUAACAAGGUAUC